UCCCAGACCUAUGCUGGCACCUGGCAGGGCUGGGAGAGAUGAGGAAUGCCAAAGGGCUGCCAAGUGCAGGGUCAGAGGAAGAGGAGAACUGGCAUCUCUCCUCACACUAUGGUUACUGAGCACUGCCAUUCACUCCAGUGACUGGGGAAAUCUUUAGGGAUCAAAGAGGCUUUCCAUCCUUGAGAAGUACCACUUACUCCUGAGAGUGAGAUGCCACAAUCUAUCCUGAUGCUGAGUUGUGCAAGGCUGGGGGAUCGAAGGAAAGAAGGGAGAACCAAGAGUUGAAAAGAAACCAAGGCUGCUUCAGCAACAUCUCAUGUCAGACUCCAUAAUCACAGGCUGCAUCUAAACCACUGAGGCACAGUGUGACAUCCCCUACUUCUGGAAACCCCAAGGCAAGGGCUUUGGGGAAAGCAGAGAUGAAAUCAUGACUCCCCUGGCCCUCUCCCAAAUACCCCCACACUGGGCACACCCAGUGCUUUUAGGGCAUUAAGUGCAUCUAAGGAUA